GUUUUUAUUUUCAUGUAGCAGAGAUGAAAAGUGGGUUCGGCCUACCAAUAUACUUGCUGGUGGGCCUGAGCAGAGUAGUCCACUUUCUUCUUCUUCGUUGAGAAAUCCUCCCAAGAAUCCCGAGUUCUCUGUUCUACCGUCCAGGUCAAACAAACACUUCUCAGAUUUUCUUCUCUCACAAAACCCAGCUCUCUUCUCACCCCAAAAAUGGAAAUUAAAUAAAUAAAAAAUAUUAAACCUGCUCUCCUUAUGAAUUCAUGCAACAGAGCUAAUUGGUGGGCUGAGGAAUCGAAGCCUCCUUCACCUCACCGCCCUCAAAUUCCAUCACAGUCACAUAGUUGACUGUAAAUUCUCCUUCUUUCUUCAAUCAGAUCCCCAGAUUCCCCACAAGCUUAAUCUGCCAGAAAAGCACAAUACCCAGGUGGGUAUUUUGUGCUGGAGUUCUGAAAUGGCGCCAACUGCUUAGAGGAAUUGGAUAAUGCAAUUGCAAAAUUGCAUCAAAACUUUCGGGAAUUGAGGUACCACCUUGAGAAGUCGUUCUUAGAGCAGGGCCUAUUGAAAUUUGAAGUUCAGUGGAAAGAUCUUAAGAAAGAUCAUAGCAGAUAAAACGAGCAGCGGUAGGUUCACUUGUAACAAAUGGUAUAUUCUUAUUGUUCUCUCAACUUUAUAUCAAUUUAGCUUUGGUUUUGCAUAUGAUGCAUUUUCGUGUGAGUUUAAAUGUGAUCUGAAUUUAAGUUAGUGCAUUGCCAUUGGGAUUUUUCACAUUUGUUCUAGACUUCUAGUUGUUCCAGUACUUAUUUGAUGUUCAACGAAAAUAAAAGGAUCUAUCGAUACUUCUUUCCAAUAGAAAACUAUGGUUGAACUGAGUUUUUCGGACUUUCCAAACACAAAAGAAAUAAAUGAGUUUUGUUCUGAGAUUCUUAUAUAGAAAUUUGAUCACACACCUUGUCAAUCCAAAUUUUAUCUGAGCAUAGUCCAAUUAAAAGGCAUAACUGAAUAUCUAGGGUUAUUCUGUCAUAUCGGGACUGUAUAGGUACAUCUUUUGUUCGUGUCGAGGCAAAUGCAGUGGUGUUUAACUUCUGUCAACCCAUGGAUGUUUAGUCGUUGUUGUAAUCCUGAUAAUUCUUGCGGUUCUAUUCCCUCAUCACUUAAGCUUUUGGGGCCAGUGGUUAACUAACAUGGUAUUAGAGCCUUGUUAGUAGUUUGCAAGAGGUAUUGGGUUCAAAACUUUUGAUCUCGAUGCCUGCUUCUAUGCUGUGUGAAUGGUGCAUGGUCAGGCUGCACUACUAUGUUCUUUUUCUCCUUCCAUCUGUUUGUUCCUCCACAUGCUGCCCAUUCUGCAUGUGAGGGAGGGUGUAAGCUUGGCAUCCCUUGUUCACCCAUUCCCUAACAUCUUAAGCUUUUGGGACCAGGGCCUGUGUAAUCCGUAUCUAUGGUAGAAGAAUCUGAAUAUGGCAUGUUGUAUGCUUUCCCAAUUAAAACUUCUUGUGGGGAGAUUCAAUCAAUGGAAGAAUAUUUAUUAGGCUUUGUUACAGUUAUGAUAUGCGUCUAGCUUCCCCCCUCCCUCCUUAUGAUAUGCCUCAUGUUUCAAAAUACCCCAUUCCAUCAAGUCUGUUGUGUUUCCGUUAACCAAGUUGAAGUGGCACUUACAUGGAAAACAUUUAUGGACUUUUUGCUAUAUUUUUAUUAUUUUAUUUCCUUAUUGUGUGCUUUGUGGUAUUUAAUGGUGUUGAAUGUACUCCCUUAAAGCAUUUGAAUAUACCACUUUUGUCAGCAUCGAUUUUUCUAAUAUUUGAUGUCAUUUUCAAAGACCCCAGAUCUGUUUAGCUAGCUUCAAAGUUCAUGUUAUAGUGACAAAUUCCCCUUCUACACUUUGUCGGAAAAUAAUCGAAGGGGCAGAAAAAGUUGUGUUGCACUUUCAACUGCAGGUGCUGAAUACAUAAGUGCAUCUGAAGCCGCAGCUCAGGCAAUAUGGUUGAGGUUUGUUCUGGAGGAUUUUGGAGAAUUACAAACUGAAGCAACCCCUCUUCACUGUGACAACACAUCUGCCAUUGCCAUUACCAAGAAUUAUGUGUUCCAUCAAAAGACCAAGCACAUUGAUAGGAGAUAUCACUUUAUCAAAGAUGCAUUGCAGAAAGGCAUUAUUGACUUGGUGUGUUGUCCCACAGAAGAGCAAUUGGCAGACAUCUUCACAAAGCCACUCGCAAAGGAUCGAUUCAGUCUUCUCAAAAGAAUGCUUGGAGUGAAAUCAGCUUUAGACUUAAAGGGGAGUGUUGAAUUUUAAGUCUAUGGCUGAUUUGGAAAUAAGCUGUGUAUCAAAUUUGUGCGUUCACUAGAGUUUAAAAUACCAAGUGUGCAGCUCAUAACGUUGUGGUAGGCUCCACGACACAUCUUCACUUAUCAUCAAUGUGGGAGAUGGGGACUGCAAGAAAACACGUUGAUAAAAAAAAAAGGUUAUUUUUUGCGAAUGAAAUAUUUGAAUCGUUGUUUGGAUGCUGCGCAUGAAGUAUGAUUACAUUUUUCUUAAUUUUGCAUAA